CCCUAAAGAAAGGGGAACUUUAGAUAGUACCUUCUGUCACCCAGUUUCAAUCCUGUUCUUAGCCUGUGCAGAGAUGGGUGUGGGGUGGUAUUCAGACCUUUGUGACAAUUAGGCUGCAACUCCUGAGAGGAAAGAUCCCAGAGCUAAGCUCCUGGCAGUCAUGGGCCAAAGCGAGAAAAGAGGCUGUGACUUUCAUAUUUCCCACACAUGAGUUGCAUCAGCCAGGAAAGGAGAGUGCAGUGGGAGAAGGCCAUGAGACCUGGCUCAGCAGUGGAUAUCAGCAGAAUGGAACCACCAACAACCCAUGUAAGACUGGGAAGAAGUUGAGAUACCAGACUGUGGAGAGGGUCCAUCUGCUACACAGCAGCUGCUGUUACUGUUGCUGUUGCUGCUGUUGCUGCUGCUGCUGCUGCUGCUGCUGCUGCCGCCGUCGCCAACACCAGAGUCAAUCUCAAGAUGAUGGGCUACAUCAGGAGGCCUAGAAGAUGAACUUGGUCUGUCUAGAAGCUGGUAGGAUCAAAUUAGCUGAGUCAGCAGAGAGGAAACCCAGAGGAGGAAGAACUCUGCAGCAGGAAUCUGCAGGGCUAACAAAGUCAGCAAAACAGCUCCAUCUGUCUAUCCCUUGGUGUCUGGCUGCGGUGACAUGUCUGGAUCUCCGGUGACAUUAGGAUGCCUUGUCAAAGGCUAUUUCCCUGAGCCGGUAACCGUAAAAUGGAACUCUGGAUCACUGCCCAGCGGUGUACGUACCUUCCCAGCUGUCCUGCAGUCUGGACUCUACUCCCUCAGCAGCUCAGUGACUGUAUCCUCCAGAACCUGGCCCAGUCAGACCAUCACCUGCAACGUCGUCCACCCGGCCAGCAAAACCGAGUUGGUCACGAGACUUGAGCCCAGAAUACCCACGCCCAAACCCCCGACAGAUACCUCAUGCCUACAUGGUGGACCAUCCGUCUUCAUCUUCCCCCCAAAGCCCAAGGAUGCACUCAUGAUCUCCAGGGUCCCCAAGGUCACGUGUGUGGUGGUGGAUGUGAGCGAGGAUGAGCCAGAUGUUAAGUUCAAUUGGUUUGUGGACAACAAAGAAGUAUACACAGCUCAGACACAGCCCCGUGAGGAGCAGUAUAAUAGUACCUUCCGGGUGGUCAGUGCCCUCCCCAUCCAGCAUCAGGACUGGAUGAACGGCAAGAAAUACACAUGCAAGGUCACGAACAAAGCCCUCCCAGGCCCCAUCCAGAGAACCAUCUCAAAACCCAGAGGAAGAGCCCAGACACCUCAAGUAUAUGCCAUGCCUCCACAUCGUGAACAAAUGUCCAAGAAGAAGGUUAGUCUGACCUGCUUGGUCACCAACUUCUUCUCUGAAGACAUUGACGUGGAAUGGGAAAGGAAUGGGGAGCUGGAGGAGAACUACAAGAACACCCCACCCAUCCUGGACUCAGAUGGGACCUACUUCCUCUACAGCAAGCUCACUGUGGAUACGAACAGUUGGUUGGAAGGAGACAGUUUUACCUGCUCUGUGGUACAUGAGGCUCUUCAUAACCACCACACACAGAAGACCCUGUCCCUCUCCCGUGGGCUGGAACUGAAUGAGACCUGUGCUGAGGCCCAGGACGGGGAGCUGGACGGGCUCUGGACGACCAUCACCGUCUUCAUCAGUCUCUUCCUGCUCAGCGUGUGCUACAGUGCUUCUGUCACAUUCUUCAAGGUGAAGUGGAUCUUCUCCUCGGUGGUACAGGUGAAACACACGGUGGUCCCUGACUACAGAAACAUGAUUGGGCAAGGCGCCUAGCUUGUCUCUUCAGAAGAUGCCAGAGCUUGCUAGCCCUCUAGGACCAAGUCCACUUUGCUGAGCAGCCAGACACACAGAUGACGCUGCCUUCUCAUCUCAGCAUCCUUUGAUCUUAUGGCUCUGACUCUGCUGCUAAUGUCCCUUCCACAUUUAGAGGAGCAUGUGGAGAGCAGGCUUUGCCCCAGACCAUAGACAACAGGACCCAAGCACCACUAUCACAGCCAGAACAAUGGAUAGGGUCAAAACUGCUGUUUCUUCUACAAGGUGUCUAGCCCUCAGCCAGGCACUCCUCCAGGAUGGCCUGCAUCCACUUAGAUGCAAAUAAGCCAUAGAGCCAGCCCUGUCUACACAGUCCUCUGAAAAAGUGUGUUUCUCUGAGAGAAGUUUCCAUAUGCCUCUGAGGCUGAGAAGGCCCCAAAGGGACCUCUGUGGGAUGACUGCCAAAGGUGACCCUAAUAGCCUUCACCCGAUCAGUGUCCUGGCAUGUUUUUUUUUCCUGACACUUAAGCAAACUCUCAGUUCUUGGAAUAUAAGAUGGGGCUCCUUGUGAAGACCCUUCUUCCUGCCAUCUACGCAACAUGAUGGAAUCUCAGAUGCAAGAUCCCAUCAGAGACACUGCUGACCCCACAGCUUGAGGACCAGGGCACUGUUGCCUCACUGGAUGACUUAGAGAGACACUCAGAGGGCCUGGGCUUCACAGCCUCUGUCAGGAUCUAGCAGGUGCAGGAGCCACUGACCAGUGGCUGAGCAACCCAGAAAAACCUGUAAGAGAAGGGCAUGAUGAACAGACACCAGUCAGUCCCAAAGGUGGUCCAGGAGCAACAUGAGGAGAAAGAGAGGAUGCUUAAAAAGCCAGGCAGGAAUGGGUCUUUCCUGCAGCCUGGCAUCUAGACUGGACCACUGAGAGCAGAGAACACCAGUUAUAGUAGACAUCCAUGGAGACAGCCCAGGCCAGCCACUGAGGCUGACUGACCGCUGGCACUGGAGAGGCACCGUGACUGUUUCUCCAUUUCAUAUCAAGGCAAAUGCCAGGCCAGAGUCCCCAACAAAGGAGAAACUCAGGAAGGAAAGUGGGGGUGCCUGGCUCUUAGGGAACUCCAACAGAUGUUCACUGACAUGAAGCUUAGCUUUUCCAGCUUUUUCUUUAAAUUUUCUGGAGCCCGGUCAUAUCAUUAAGGUCCCUCUUCAUCUUUUUUUAUAAUAAUAAUAAUAAAACAUCCUUCAACACUGUACAA